AUGUUUCAGCUAUUCCUGCUUUUCUUUGAUCCAGUUUCGAUUAUUCUCGGUUGUGUAUGGGUCUAUCGUCUAGUGAUGCCCCUAUCUUCUAGUGGUUCAGGACAUCUCUCUUUCAAGGAGGCAGCGGGGAUUCGACUUCCCAUGUUUUCUCCGAAGGGUGAAGGCGGAUUCUCUGAACUUAAAAUAAGGGUGAAGGAUACAUACAAUAUGCCGGGUCUAAAGUGUGUCCCGGAGAAGCCCAACGAGAAACUAAGAAUCCUGUUAUAUAGAGAAAAAAACUAUCAUUCAUUUUUCCAAUAG
rnacentral:rRNA from 1 species